GGGGAAUUGGCUCAGUUGGCUAGAGCACCUGCCUUGCAAGCAGGGGGUCAUCGGUUCAAGUCCGAUAUUCUCCACCA
rnacentral:tRNA from 1 species